CACGCUCCGCGAGGUCUUGAUCGCCCGGCUUUUGCAGGGAAAGGAGUGGGGCGAACAUGGCUGAAGGCAGCCGGGGCGGCCCAACGUGCCGCGGGAUGGACUGCAGGCAGGACCCGGUCUCCAGCAGUGGGAGCUGCAACUUUCCAGAGUACGAGCUUCCCGAGCUAAACACGCGCGCUUUCCAUGUGGGCGCUUUCGGGGAGCUGUGGCGUGGCCGGUUGCGCCGGGAAGGGGACUUGUCGCUGAAGGAGCCACAGGCAGCCGCGUUGCCUGGGAGCCAAGGGGUCGCCGACUGGGGCCAGGAGGAUGCUGCGGUGGCCCGGGAUCUGGGCUGCAGCCCGGAGGCAGCGGCCGAGCUGCGGACGGUGUGCGGCCUUGAUAAACUGAAGUGCCUUGAGGAGGGUGAGGAUCCAGAUGUCGUCCCAGAGAAUACCGACCUAGUGACUUUGGGGGUUAGAAAGAAACUUCUGGAACAGCGGGAAGAAACCAUAACAAUAGAUCGGGUUUGCAGACAAGAAACAUUUGCUUAUGAGAUGGAGUCACAUGCCAUAGGAAAAAAGCCUGAAAAUCCAGCAGACAUGAUUGAAGAAGGGGAGCUUAUCCUAUCUGUGAAUAUCUUAUACCCUAUUAUAUUUCAUAAGCACAAAGAACACAAACCAUACCAGACGAUGCUGGUGUUGGGCAGUCAGAAGCUCACGGAACUGAGAGAUUCAAUUUGCUGUGUCAGUGACCUCCAGAUUGGUGGGGAAUUCAGCAACACUCCUGAUCAAGCUCCUGAGCACAUAAGCAAAGACCUGUACAAAUCAGCCUUCUUUUAUUUUGAAGGGACAUUUUACAAUGAUAAAAGAUACCCCGAGUGCAGAGAUUUGAGCAGAACUAUCAUUGAAUGGUCAGAGUCCCAUGACAGAGGCUAUGGAAAAUUUCAGACCGCUAAAAUGGAAGAUUUCACCUUCAACGACCUGUAUAUUAAACUGGGUUUUCCUUACUUAUAUUGUCACCAGGGAGACUGUGAGCAUGUUGUUGUCAUUACUGACAUAAGGCUUGCGCAUUGUGAUGACUGCUUGGAUAGGACACUUUAUCCCCUUCUUAUCAAGAAGCAUUGGCUGUGGACCAGAAAAUGUUUUGUUUGUAAAAUGUACACAGCCAGAUGGGUGACGAACAAUGACAGUUUUGCACCAGAGGACCCAUGUUUCUUUUGUGAUGUUUGCUUUCGGAUGCUCCACUAUGAUUCAGAAGGCAACAAACUAGGGGAAUUCCUUGCUUAUCCUUAUGUUGAUCCUGGAACCUUUAACUAAUAAUAACAAAAAAUGUACUUUGUGAAGUAACUGUCCUCUUGGAUGGUUACUUUAUUUCCAGAACAUGCCACUGAGGAACAGGAUCCACCUGAAAUAAUCAGCUAGUUACCCACACCCCUGCAAAAGUUCACAUCACAGGUUUUCUCUUUUUUUUUAAAUCACAGGUUUUCUUAUAAAGUAACUUGUGUUUAGAAAUCUUUUAGUAUUUAUUUCAAAAUAGGGUUUUUAUUUAGUGUGUUUGCCCAUUUUUAAGUGUGUUUAUCAUACUAAGUUGUAGGAGUACUUUAUAUUUUUUUGAAUACAAAUCCUGUCAGAUUCAAGUAUUCUGGUUUUUAGCCAGUCUGUGGCUUGCCUAAUCAUUCUGUGUCCAGAGUACUUUUUGCUAAUCUAUAGUUAGAAAAAUUCAGUUAAUCAUACAUCAAGUGGUGGAAGUAUUUUGAAAAUUCCUUGAAGAAUGUGAGAGCUAUACCUUGUACCAUGAGGCUUCCAAGGUUAUUUAUUUAAAUUCAACUGAGUUCCACAUUCCCUGGAUGGCUAAGAACAGAGAUUUACCAUACAAAUCAAAAACUGAUGAAGCCUUUAAGCCUGUAUGUUUAAAAGAUUGGCAGUGAAAUGUUUUAUGGACUUAGAUGACAUAUCCAGUUAAGUUGAUUGGUGUGCUGAGGACAAGCACCUGUUUCUGGUAUGUGUAGUGAUGGUCUCAUUCACUGAUUCAAUAAAUACACCAGAGGAUCAGUAAAAAGAAGAGGUGUCUCCCCUGGCUGGCUUAUGUUACUGUCUAAAUUUCUACUUUCAUGUUUCCAAUGAUGCUAAGUUGAACAGAUUAAAAAUUCUGCUAGAAAA